AUCACAAACUGAUGGAGGAACUCCCGGAACACCUCGUUCAAGAAACACUGGAAUAUGGAAGGUGAGUUUGAAAGGCCAUAGGACAUGACCAGAUAUUCGUAGUGACCUGAGGGUGUGAUGAACGCCGUCUUCCACUCAUCACCUGCCCGGAAGGUUAUACGAGCUCCACAGGUCCAGAUUGGAGAAUAUGCCGGCUCCACGGAUUUCCUCGAGGGUGGCUGGGACCAGGGAAAGUGGAUAUGGUAGCUUCACUAUUUCUGCGUUCAGGACAUGGUAGUCAAUGCAUGGCCUCAAGCCUCCAUCCUUCUUACCCACGAAGAAGCUGGAAGCAGCAGGUGAAGUGGAGGGUUGAAUGAAUCCUUGUUGGAGAGCCUCCUGGAUGUAGUCCUCCAUUGCCUUGUGCUCCGGGAUGGACAAAGGGUAGACUCUUCCUUUGGGAAUUUGGCCCCAGGCAGCAGGACGAUGGCACAGUUCCAUGGCCGAUGCAGUGUUAGACGGGUAGCAGCCUGCUUGCUAAAGACAUCCUGGAAUGCCUAAAAUAUUACCUUUAUUUUAAUCUGUUCAGUAAAUUUUGGCAGUUUUUAUCUAUGCUGGCAAGUGAUCAUGGUGUAAGCAGAACAAUCACAUCUGGUGUACAUUAAAGUCAAAUAACCACCUAACAUGAAUUAUAAUUUUUUUAUAUAUAUAUAAUAUACACCCAUUCAAAAACAGAGGGUCAGCAAUGUCAUUGAAAGAGGUCAACAUAAUAUUACUCUAGUAGCGAUUCAUGUAAACAGAUAUGAGUUGUAUCUUAUAUGAAUGUAUACAGUCGGGAGAAAAAAUGGAUAGUCAAAAGAUUGGGUCUGUGCAUUAAGUCUUGUACACACAUUUUCUGUGUAUCUGUGCUUGAUUCAGGAGAUGGAGAUAUUCCACCCCAUCCUGAUAUUCCAGGAGCUGAAGAGUCGAAUCCAUAAUCCACUGACAAAUACGGAACGGGUGGUUAUACCAAAGGAAGAGUACAACCAGAAGGCCCCUGUCUCUGUGCCUGAUGUGUCUACUGUUUUUUGAGGUGCUGCCUCACCCAUAUUCCCUCAGCCUGAGCUGCCCACUUUAAAGCAGCAGCCAGCACCACCACAACAGAUCCACAUCCAGCAGCACCUCCAGUUCCACUUCCUCCCAGACAGGUAAAAUCCUAAUAGAUGCUCACUUGUGAUUACACAUUAUGUUGACUGGCAACUAAUAACAGCUAUACUAUUUGAACUAUAUUCAUUUUCAGAAUAAUUUCUUAUUCUCAUUAUCAUAAAUAUGUAACUAUUUGAAUAUCAAUUAUUUACCACAAUUACUGACUUUUAAUACUUAAAGGUACAA